rnacentral:tRNA from 1 species
GGUAGCGUAGUGGUUACGUACUUGGCUGCUAACCAACAGGUUGGCAGUUCGAAUCUGCCAGCCA